rnacentral:tRNA from 3 species
UGCGGAUGUGGCGGAACUGGCAGACGCGCUGGAUUUAGGUUCCAGUGCCUUCGGGCGUGCAGGUUCGAUUCCUGUCAUCCGCAU